CACGUAGGGUGCGAGCGUUGUCCGGAAUUAUUGGGCGUAAAGCGCGCGCAGGCGGUCCUUUAAGUCUGAUGUGAAAGCCCACGGCUCAACCGUGGAAGGUCAUUGGAAACUGGAGGACUUGAGUACAGAAGAGGAAAGCGGAAUUCCACGUGUAGCGGUGAAAUGCGUAGAGAUGUGGAGGAACACCAGUGGCGAAGGCGGCUUUCUGGUCUGUAACUGACGCUGAGGCGCGAAAGCGUGGGGAGCAAACAGG
rnacentral:rRNA from 1 species